GACGAAGGGGGCUAGCGUUGUUCGGAAUUACUGGGCGUAAAGCGAGUGUAGGUGGUUGUUCAAGUUGGAUGUGAAAGCCUUGAGCUCAACUCAAGAAAUGCAUUCAGGACUGAGCGACUAGAGGACCGGAGAGGAUAGUGGAAUUCCCAGUGUAGUGGUGAAAUGCGUAGAUAUCGGGAAGAACACCCGUGGCGAAGGCGGCACUCUGGGACGGUACUGACGCUGAGACGCGAAAGCGUGGGGAGCGAACAGG
rnacentral:rRNA from 1 species